rnacentral:rRNA from 1 species
GACAGAGGGGGCAAGCGUUGCUCGGAAUUAUUGGGCGUAAAGCGCGCGCAGGUGGUUUCUUAAGUCUGAUGUGAAAGCCCACGGCUCAACCGUGGAGGGUCAUUGGAAACUGGGAGACUUGAGUGCAGAAGAGGAAAGUGGAAUUCCAUGUGUAGCGGUGAAAUGCGUAGAGAUAUGGAGGAACACCAGUGGCGAAGGCGACUUUCUGGUCUGUAACUGACACUGAGGCGCGAAAGCGUGGGGAGCAAACAGG